AAACACCUUAUAACACAUUAUACACUUUACAUUUGUUAAUAUAAUUUUGUGUAUUUGUUAUGAAUUGUUUUUUAUUGAUUAUGUGACCUGAUGAUGUCACACCACCUGUAAUACAUUCACACACAGUAAUAUGCGGCACUCCCAUUGCAAACAAUUGAAAAAUAUAUCCUGGCCUCAGGAAAAAAGCUUUGGUGGACACAUGGCCUUACACGACUUGGAUAUUGGAUGUGUCACCAGUGUGAAUGGCUUAUAGACUCCUGAUCCAUCCAAAUAUGAACAUGUCUAGAGUUCACCAUGAUACAGGAUGCACUCCAUUCAGAAGUGAUCAUUCCUAUUCCUAUGCACCGUUGCUGAUUGUACAGCUGCUGGAAGUGAAUUUCCCCAGUUUCACUAGCUACUGCCUAUCUGUCAGGAAGCUGGUCAUCCAUUGGCAGAUAUAGGUGGGAACAUAGAGCUGGGUUAAUUUAGAACAGGAAUGAUGGUGUUGAUUUAAACAAAUAGACCCCUUCACGGUUGAUGUCACAGGAAAAUUCGAAGUGCGUAGUGCGCAUGUCGGGGUCAGAAGUCAGAACGUUCCAUCGUGUCUCGUCGUGUGUUAUCCAGAUAAUUUCUCGUCAACAUGCCUACUUGUUGUGUCGUGGAUUGUGCAAAUCGCACCAGUUGUGGAGUCAAGUUUUUCAGGAUUCCUGCAGGAUCUCAUCCUUUUAAAAAAAAAUAGAUGUCAUCUGUGGCUGCAAGCAAUUAAACGGGCAGACUGGGACAAUGCUACGAUCCAAGAGGCUCGUGUUUGUAGUGCUCACUUCAUAUCAGGAGAGGCAUCACUUGACUCCAGUAGUCCUGACUUGUGCCCUCCUUGUUUGUGUACAAAAAACAAAGCCAGACACCUAAGACAAAAAUGGAAAGGUAUCUGAGGAAAAGGAAGAGAGAUGAACGCCCUGACAUGCAACCUGCUUCUUUCCAGACUGACACAUAACUUUCCUUUAUCAGGAGAAGAUCCACAUAUGCCUCAUGCUAGAAUCCACUGACUAUAAAUAUACUUUAUUAGAAUAAAUCCGUAAAAGAGGACCAAAGCUGCAAGGAGAAAAGAGGUGUGUAAAAUAACUGGGGAAACUGUGCAGAAAAAGACUUUAACCAUCAGUCCAAAAGUAUCAAAUGCUGAUAUAUAUAUUAUAAACUAUUUGUUUUGAUAUAAAAUAAUAGGCUAGUGUUUACUGAAACCUGACUUGAGAGUAUAUUUGUAUUUUAUGAACAGUUAAGAUAUGUAUGUAUGUAUGUAAUUAUGUA